GUGAUUCUACAUAACAACAUCCGCUUGACCUCGCAAAGCCAAGAAGAAGAAAGGCGUGGAACACAUGCUUAAGCCUGUCAAGAUCUUCAGAUGAUGUUUGAGAAAAAAGUCAUCAUCCUCUUCGUCACUCUUCAUCCGUAUUUGGGGUAACAAACACCUGCUUCCCACAAGAGACUGGACCGCUGAAGUCAGGUGACCUGCACCUUCCUUGAACAUGUUGGUAACUUACUCUGUAUUUGUUCACGGUGGUCACCCCAGGGUCUCAGGACUCAAAACGAGUGCUCUAUGGAUUGAACAGAAAAUGUAGUAUUAACAAGUGUUAUAUUAUGUCUUUAAAUGCCACUAAUAAUGUGUUUCUGUUUUCUUUCUCAUUAUGCUAACAAACGCUCUUUUAUCCCUCAUGUUAGGUGGAUCAACACUCCAACCCUCUGCAUUAGGGACUGAAUAAAGGAUGCCCUCUGUAGCUGGGAAUGUUAGAUCAGGCGGAUCAACAUUCCAUCCAUCUGCAUUAGGAUCUACCUUAGAGACACUCACUGGAGUUGUAAAGGGAAGCAGGUCACUUACUUUUCAUUCGUCCUUGGUGGUCACCCCAGGGUCUCUAGAGUGAAAAUUACUCAAUCUAUGGAUUAAACAGAAAAUGUAGUUUUAUGAAGUGCAAUUUGGGACAUUCUUCCAGUUGUCGGCAACUUUGUGAAAAAGGCUGGAAACUAAAAUGCAAAAUUCUGGCCUGGUGUUUGGUCCGUGCUGUCUUUGGCUCUUGCAUCUCCAUCAUCCUGACCCUCUUUAGCAGCCUGUCCAUGUAUUUAUUUGGAGGCCACCAUGAGCACCCAUCUGCAUAAUAUGACUUUGUUACUCAG